rnacentral:lncRNA from 1 species
GUAUGGUGCUGGGUGCAGAUGCGAUGUGGCUCUCGAUAGCACCUUAUGGACAGUUGUGUCCCAAAGGAGGGAUGACAAUAGCUACUGAAGUCCUAAAGAGCAAGCCUAACUCAAGCCAUUGGCAUACAGGCAUUAGACAGAAAACUAGAAGUUGAAAUGGUGGAGUCCAACUUGUCUGGACCAGCUUUAUGUUUCUG